GACGAACGCUGGCGGCGUGCUUAACACAUGCAAGUCAAGGAGAAAGUUCCUUUCGGGGAAUGUGUAAACUGGCGCACGGGUGAGUAAUAUAUAAGCAAUCUACCUAUGGGUUCGGAAUAACGUCGAGAAAUCGGCGCUAAUACCGUAUAAUGCAGCGGCAUCGCAUGGUGAUGUUGUUAAAGUUUAAUUAACGCCUAUAGAUGAGCUUGUAUCUGAUUAGCUAGUUGGUGAGGUAAUGGCUCACCAAGGCAACGAUCAGUAGCUGGUCUGAGAGGAUGAUCAGCCACAUUGGAACUGAGACACGGUCCAGACUCCUACGGGAGGCAGCAGUGAGGAAUAUUGGGCAAUGGGCGAAAGCCUGACCCAGCAACGCCGCGUGAAGGAUGAAUGUCGUAAGAUUGUAAACUUCUUUUUAAGGGGACGAAAAAACGUGUUGGUAGCUCGAAUUGACUGUACCCUUAGAAUAAGCCCCGGCUAACUACGUGCCAGCCGCCGCCGUAAGAC
rnacentral:rRNA from 1 species